rnacentral:rRNA from 1 species
GGCUCAGAUUGAACGCUGGCGGCAGGCCUAACACAUGCAAGUCGAACGGUAGCACAGAGAGCUUGCUCUUGGGUGACGAGUGGCGGACGGGUGAGUAAUGUCUGGGAAACUGCCCGAUGGAGGGGGAUAACUACUGGAAACGGUAGCUAAUACCGCAUAACGUCUUCGGACCAAAGUGGGGGACCUUCGGGCCUCACACCAUCGGAUGUGCCCAGAUGGGAUUAGCUAGUAGGUGGGGUAACGGCUCACCUAGGCGACGAUCCCUAGCUGGUCUGAGAGGAUGACCAGCCACACUGGAACUGAGACACGGUCCAGACUCCUACGGGAGGCAGCAGUGGGGAAUAUUGCACAAUGGGCGCAAGCCUGAUGCAGCCAUGCCGCGUGUAUGAAGAAAGGCCCUUCGGGUUGUAAAGUACUUUCAG